rfam:Gossypium arboreum cultivar AKA8401 contig_68873_1, whole genome shotgun sequence.
AGCUGCGCUGUGAGCACAGAGCGAACUAUUCUUUCGCCUUUUACUAAAGAAUACCGUGUGCUCGCAGCACAAUGCAGUAUACGCCUAUUUUUGGAGGCAUAAUUCCUUUAUUGGA